rnacentral:rRNA from 1 species
AUACAUGCAAGUCGAGCGAACGGACGAGAAGCUUGCUUCUCUGAUGUUAGCGGCGGACGGGUGAGUAACACGUGGAUAACCUACCUAUAAGACUGGGAUAACUUCGGGAAACCGGAGCUAAUACCGGAUAAUAUUUUGAACCGCAUGGUUCAAAAGUGAAAGACGGUCUUGCUGUCACUUAUAGAUGGAUCCGCGCUGCAUUAGCUAGUUGGUAAGGUAACGGCUUACCAAGGCAACGAUGCAUAGCCGACCUGAGAGGGUGAUCGGCCACACUGGAACUGAGACACGGUCCAGACUCCUACGGGAGGCAGCAGUAGGGAAUCUUCCGCAAUGGGCGAAAGCCUGACGGAGCAACGCCGCGUGAGUGAUGAAGGUCUUCGGAUCGUAAAACUCUGUUAUUAGGGAAGAACAUAUGUGUAAGUAACUGUGCACAUCUUGACGGUACCUAAUCAGAAAGCCACGGCUAACUACGUGCCAGCAGCCGCGGUAAUACGUAGGUGGCAAGCGUUAUCCGGAAUUAUUGGGCGUAAAGCGCGCGUAGGCGGUUUUUUAAGUCUGAUGUGAAAGCCCACGGCUCAACCGUGGAGGGUCAUUGGAAACUGGAAAACUUGAGUGCAGAAGAGGAAAGUGGAAUUCCAUGUGUAGCGGUGAAAUGCGCAGAGAUAUGGAGGAACACCAGUGGCGAAGGCGACUUUCUGGUCUGUAACUGACGCUGAUGUGCGAAAGCGUGGGGAUCAAACAGGAUUAGAUACCCUGGUAGUCCACGCCGUAAACGAUGAGUGCUAAGUGUUAGGGGGUUUCCGCCCCUUAGUGCUGCAGCUAACGCAUUAAGCACUCCGCCUGGGGAGUACGACCGCAAGGUUGAAACUCAAAGGAAUUGACGGGGACCCGCACAAGCGGUGGAGCAUGUGGUUUAAUUCGAAGCAACGCGAAGAACCUUACCAAAUCUUGACAUCCUUUGACAACUCUAGAGAUAGAGCYUUCCCCUUCGGGGGACAAAGUGACAGGUGGUGCAUGGUUGUCGUCAGCUCGUGUCGUGAGAUGUUGGGUUAAGUCCCGCAACGAGCGCAACCCUUAAGCUUAGUUGCCAUCAUUAAGUUGGGCACUCUAAGUUGACUGCCGGUGACAAACCGGAGGAAGGUGGGGAUGACGUCAAAUCAUCAUGCCCCUUAUGAUUUGGGCUACACACGUGCUACAAUGGACAAUACAAAGGGCAGCGAAACCGCGAGGUCAAGCAAAUCCCAUAAAGUUGUUCUCAGUUCGGAUUGUAGUCUGCAACUCGACUACAUGAAGCUGGAAUCGCUAGUAAUCGUAGAUCAGCAUGCUACGGUGAAUACGUUCCCGGGUCUUGUACACACCGCCCGUCACACCACGAGAGUUUGUAACACCCGAAGCCGGUGGAGUAACCUUUUAGGAGCUAGCCGUCGAAGG